AGAUUGAACGCUGGCGGAAUGCUUUACACAUGCAAGUCGAACGGCAGCACGGGGGCAACCCUGGUGGCGAGUGGCGAACGGGUGAGUAAUACAUCGGAACGUGCCCAGUCGUGGGGGAUAACUACGCGAAAGCGUAGCUAAUACCGCAUACGAACUCUGGUUGAAAGCGGGGGAUCGCAAGACCUCGCGCGAUUGGAGCGGCCGAUGGCAGAUUAGGUAGUUGGUGGGGUAAAGGCUCACCAAGCCGACGAUCUGUAGCUGGUCUGAGAGGACGACCAGCCACACUGGGACUGGAGACACGGCCCAGACCUCCGUACGGGAGGCAGCGAGUGGGGUAAUUUGGAACAUGGGCGCAAGCCUGACUCCGAGCCAUUCCGCGUGCGAGGAUGGAACGGUCCCGUCGGGUUACGUAAACGUCGUCUUUUUACGGUAACCGGUAACCGAAACCGUCCGGACGUU
rnacentral:rRNA from 1 species